rnacentral:rRNA from 1 species
CUGAAUUAAAGCAUAUAA